GAUGAACGCUGGCGGCGUGCCUAAUACAUGCGAGUCGAGCGAACGGACGAGAAGCUUGCUUCUCUGAUGUUAGCGGCGGACGGGUGAGUAACACGUGGAUAACCUACCUAUAAGACUGGGAUAACUUCGGGAAACCGGAGCUAAUACCGGAUAAUAUUUUGAACCGCAUGGUUCAAAAGUGAAAGACGGUCUUGCUGUCACUUAUAGAUGGAUCCGCGCUGCAUUAGCUAGUUGGUAAGGUAACGGCUUACCAAGGCAACGAUGCAUAGCCGACCUGAGAGGGCGAUCGGCCACACUGGAACUGAGACACGGUCCAGACUCCUACGGGAGGCAGCAGUAGGGAAUCUUCCGCAAUGGGCGAAAGCCUGACGGAGCAACGCCGCGUGAGUGAUGAAGGUCUUCGGAUCGUAAAACUCUGUUAUUAGGGAAGAACAUAUGUGUAAGUAACUGUGCACAUCUUGACGGUACCUAAUCAGAAAGCCACGGCUAACUACGUG
rnacentral:rRNA from 1 species